ACAUUCUUAGACAUGUAAGGACUCACAUCAUCUGCCUGAAAAAUAAUGCCCUCAAAAGUCCACCAAUCAACCGAGAAAUGAGUCAAAAUAAAGAAACCAGGAAUGGAAGAGGUGGUACAAAAGAAACAACCAUGGCCAGAACUUUCAUGUUGAGGGAAAGAGUUAGUGGAGGGGAGGAGAAAAUGAAGUGCCCUGUUCCAAGUUCAUGACCCCUCUAGGAGAUUGAAGCCUCCUCUUGCCAGCUCAGGAACUCCUCUAAUUUCUCACACAUUUGAAGAAGAGAUAACUGAGGUCGAGGGAUGAGCAAGCUCUUGCCAGCAGAAGUCACCAUCCUUCUCCAGUGCCCAAGGCUUCCCACCUUCCUAGUGAGAUCAUUUUCCGGAAAUUUAUUGCAUUUGCUUUACAUCCAUGUUUCAAAAUGUGCAUUGUCAAUACACUGAAAGCCUAUAGUACACAGUCAUUUCCCCACAUGAGGCGGAGGAGUUUGGACUUGAUCUUACAAUAUGAGUGAGAAGUUGGCUCCUAUGCUAACCGCCCCCUGGUGUAAGCAGGCCUUCUCCUGCUGCCUCUGGACUGACUCUUCUCUCCUCUUAGGUGAACCAUCCAGAACAAAUGCAUUCAAUUCCAUCACUGCCUUUUGGAACUGAUGACUCAGAUGAUACCCAAACAUCACCCCAGGGAUCCAUGUGCUCCUGAUUGCAUCUUCUGUCAUUGUUCAGCUCUGCAGUUACUUUGGAAUGGCUUAUUUCUCAGGUAGCCUGUUUGCAUGGUGGCCC